rnacentral:rRNA from 1 species
CCUACGGGUGGCAGCAGUGAGGAAUAUUGGUCAAUGGGCGGGAGCCUGAACCAGCCAAGUCGCGUGAGGGAAGAAGGCCCUACGGGUUGUAAACCUCUUUUGCCGGGGGACAACACCCGCCACGUGUGGCCGUAAGCAGGUACCUGGAGAAAAAGCGUCGGCUAACUCCGUGCCAGCAGCCGCGGUAAUACGGAGGAUUCGAGCGUUAUCCGGAUUUAUUGGGGUUAAAGGGUGCGCAGGCGGCGGGUCAAGUCAGCGGUAAAAUGGCGGGGCUCAACCCCGUCCGGCCGUUGAAACUGGCGGCCUUGAGUUGGAGAGAAGUAUGCGGAAUUCGUGGUGUAGCGGUGAAAUGCAUAGAUAUCACGAAGAACCCCGAUUGCGAAGGCAGCAUACCGGCGCGCAACUGACGCUGAGGCACGAAAGCGUGGGUAUCGAACAGGAUUAGAUACCCUUGUAGUC